GCAUGCCUUUUAAAUAAUCAAAAUUCUAAAAUACAUUUAUUCAAACAGCUGAGAAUGACAAUUAUUUUGUUCAAUUAAUAUUGGAACUGUACAUAGUUGUAAAACAAUUGUGUAAAGGCUACAUUCAAUUAUUUAAAACAUGUAAGAUUUAAAUAAAUUUGAUUAAUUGAUGAUAAAUGUAUGAACCUGGUUAUUGUAAAUUAUGUAAAUGAUGGAAAUUGUAUAUGUAAUUCAUAUGCAUAAAUCCUAAAUUUAGGUUAUCUCCAUAUAUUUAUUUAUUUAGCAUCAGGUCUUAUUUUACAAUCAUGACUGUACACUACAUGAUAACAUGGAAGGGUACAGGCAAAAUAAAUGUAUACAAGGAAGCAUAAAUAAGCAUAAGCAAAUAAGUAAGCAUAAAUAAUAUUUUAGCAUAUGUCAUUUUAUUUACCAUAAACUGUUUAAGUUAAAUGACAAUAUUAUGCUGCUUGGUCUGAACUGGAAGCAGUAAAGACAGUAAUAAAAAGCCUGUAUGAAUAUCA